GGUUCCUUUCCCUCUAGUCAAUUUACAAUAGUACUUCAUGAUUCUUGGGCACGCCUUUCCAAUAAAAGAAAAGAAAAGGA
rnacentral:tRNA from 1 species